CAGGCCAACUCAGCAAUGAAAGGGUCCGGUUCUGAGCUUUAGAAGGAAAUGGAGUGACGUAAUAAUGAUCAUCUGAUGCUCUUCAGCCUGGAGAUUUAAUGUCAGAGGCUCCUGGAGUGAGAUUUAACCAGCGGGGCCCCGCGCUCUGGCCUGCCUCAUUUGUUCCACAUGACAUUUCCUCAGUGCAAGGGGCUGCUCCAGAGCUAGUCCUCUGCAGCUCACGGCUGCCUUGGAUCUGGUUUGUGCCUGCGAGGGAGAUCGUCCUGCUCCCGAGCGAAUGACACAGGGGUCUGCAAGGCCAGCUCAGAACGGAGAGAUGCUCAGCAAAGGCCUGCAGGCUUCCAUGGAGGGACUCCGAGGUCACACCUAGCCGCUGGGCUCUGCUCUCUGCAAAACCAAGCCAGGUGCUGCCAGGCCUGGGCAGGAUCAGAACCACCUUCAGCAGCUCCACAACCAGGCUCUGAGUGGGGUGUUGCCUCUGCAGCUCUGCCGUCCCUCUCUCGUGUCCCAUGGGCAGUGCAGUGACCAUCUUCUCCAUCCUUUGUGGGGCCUUUGCCAUGGCCAGCACCAUCACCUCGCUCUGCACAGACUGUUGGCAGAUUAACAGCAAAGGCUCAGUUGUUCUGAGCACCCGGUGCCGUGGCCUCUGGAGAGAAUGUGUCUGGGACAAGUUUGUGAAGAUCUGGACCUGUGAUGUUUUCAGCUCCUACCUGAAUCCACAUCCAGGUAACAAAGAGCGAGGUGCAGUGGGGAGCUGCAGUUUUCCCCUGAGGCUGAUGUAUCAGAACACAACCAAUGCUGCAAUCAUUCUCACACGGACGCUGCUGAUCACUUCCAGCAUUGCUAGUGCUGGUGCAUUUCUCUGCCUGCUGUUGGGAUUUAAAUAUUUCAGCUGCUGUCAGGAACCUCUGGCUAAACAACAGUGGCUCUGCCUGGCUGCCGGACUCUUCUUCCUCGUAGGUGUCUCUAAAAAUCCCAGGAUUCCCAAGCUUUGAAUACGGCUACUCCCUAUGGAUGGCUGUGGGGGGCAGCCUAGGGGCUAUUGCUGCAGCUGGUGUAUCCUGUUAUGAAGUCCUGUUUAAAAAAGAUCCCAGGGCAAAUGCAAAUGCAGUGAAGGAAGUAUCUGGGAGUGGGUGCACUGCUGGCAUGGACAUUGUGCGUACCUAUGUGUGAGCGAGAAGAGAUCUCCUGAGCCGGAGGACAUCAGCAGUGUCACCGAAAGUCACAGCUUGGUGACGUUUGACACAGCUCUGUGUGUGGAAAGGCUGGGAGAUCUGCUUUGUGAGCGUUUCUCAGAUACUGGUUCCUAAGGAUUAGGCUCAAGUAAGGGAUACAUUUGACAGGUUUCCCUGCUAGAUUUCUAGAAAUGUUUUUGGUAUCUACAGUUAGAUGGAACAGGCCGUGCAACUUCUCCCCAGAUCUCCUGGCCCGUGUUAUUCGCAUAUUGCUUUGGCCUGCUUUGCAUGCAGUAAAUAAGACGCCAAACUAAAGUUUGAGUCCAGGCAGGUAAAAGCGACUUGCUAAUUCGGUGCUCUGGGCUGUCAUAUGGGCCAAUAGAGACAAUGUGAUGUGAACACUUCGUCCAUAGUGCCCAAUAUGUAAUCACAUUCCCUUUGUUUUAGCCUUUGAACACCCCAUUUUCUGUACUGCUUUUGGAGGUUUUCCCCUACUUGGCAUUGGAGGCCUCAGCUGGAGGCAGUUCUGGGCAGCACACUUAAAGAAAGAUGGCGAGAGUACCCUGCAGAACCCCCAAAAACGAUGCAAAGUUUAGAAAACCUGACCCACAAGGAAAGGUUCAAAAAAUUGGGCACAGUCAAUCUUGAGAAAAGACGGGGGGCACCCAUGGGUGGCGGGUAUAAUAGGCUUUGCCUUCC
ensembl:lncRNA